rnacentral:piRNA from 1 species
UGCCACAUGGCUGGUUACCUGUGCCCAUU